rnacentral:tRNA from 1 species
UGGGAUGUCGUCUAAUGGUAGGACUACGGACUCUGACUCCGUCUAUCUAGGUUCGAAUCCUAGUGUCCCAA